GUAGGUGAACCUGCGGAAGGAUCAUUACUGAGAACUUGCCCUUAGGGGUAGAUCUCCCACCCUAUGUUUACAUACUUUGUUGCUUUGGCAGGCCUGCCUCUGUGCUACUGGCCUUGGCUAGUUAGUGCCUGCCAGAGAAUCAAAACCCUGAAUCACAUAAUGUCAGAGUACUAUAUAAUAGUUAAAACUUUCAACAACGGAUCUCUUGGUUCUG
rnacentral:misc_RNA from 1 species